rnacentral:rRNA from 1 species
AUAAGCACCGGCUAACUUCGUGCCAGCAGCCGCGGUAAUACGAAGGGUGCAAGCGUUAAUCGGAUUUAUUGGGCGUAAAGGGCGCGUAGGUGGUUAGUUAAGUUGGAGGUGAAAUCCCCCGGCUCAACCGGGGAACUGCAUCCGAUACUGGCUAUCUAGAGUAUGAAUGAGGGGGGUGGAAUUUCCUGUGUAGCGGUGAAAUGCUUAGAUAUAGGACAGAACACCAGUGGCGAAGGCAACUACCUGNCNUAGAACUGACACUGAGGUGCGAAAGCGUGGGGAUCAAACAGGAUUANAUACCCUGGUAGUCCACGCUGUAAACGAUGUCNACUCNNUGUUGGCAAUAUUNA